CAAGUCGAACGGUAACAGGAUGUGCUUGCACAUCGCUGACGAGUGGCGGACGGGUGAGUAAUACUUAGGGAUCUGCCUUCUGGAGGGGGAUAACCAUUGGAAACGAUGGCUAAUACCGCAUAAUGUCUACGGACCAAAGGGGGCUUCGGCUCUCACCAGAAGAGGAACCUAAGCGAGAUUAGCUAGUUGGUGAGGUAAGGGCUCACCAAGGCGACGAUCUCUAGCUGUUCUGAGAGGAAGAUCAGCCACACUGGGACUGAGACACGGCCCAGACUCCUACGGGAGGCAGCAGUGGGGAAUAUUGCACAAUGGGGGAAACCCUGAUGCAGCCAUGCCGCGUGUGUGAAGAAGGCCUUCGGGUUGUAAAGCACUUUCAGUGGGGAGGAAAGGUUAAUGGUUAAUACCCAUUAGCUGUGACGUUACCCACAGAAGAAGCACCGGCUAACUCCGUGCCAGCAGCCGCGGUAAUACGGAGGGUGCGAGCGUUAAUCGGAAUUACUGGGCGUAAAGCGCACGCAGGCGGAUUGUUAAGCUAGAGGUGAAAGCCCCGCGCUCAACGUGGGAAUUGCCUUUAGAACUGGCAGUCUAGAGUCUUGGAGAGGGGAGUGGAAUUCCAGGUGUAGCGGUGAAAUGCGUAGAUAUCUGGAGGAACAUCAGUGGCGAAGGCGGCUCCCUGGCCAAAGACUGACGCUCAUGUGCGAAAGUGUGGGUAGCGAACAGGAUUAGAUACCCUGGUAGUCCACACCGUAAACGCUGUCUACUAGCUGUUUGUGUAUUUAAUACGUGAGUAGCGUAGCUAACGCGCUAAGUAGACCGCCUGGGGAGUACGGCCGCAAGGUUAAAACUCAAAUGAAUUGACGGGGGCCCGCACAAGCGGUGGAGCAUGUGGUUUAAUUCGAUGCAACGCGAAGAACCUUACCUACACUUGACAUCCAGAGAACUUACCAGAGAUGGUUUGGUGCCUUCGGGAACUCCGAGACAGGUGCUGCAUGGCUGUCGUCAGCUCCUGUCCUGAGAUGUUGGGUUAAGUCCCGCAACGAGCGCAACCCUUGUCCUUAGUUGCCAGCAUUUAGUUGGGCACUCUAAGGAGACUGCCGGUGACAAACGGAAGGAAGGUGGGGACGACGUCAAGUCAUCAUG
rnacentral:rRNA from 1 species